rnacentral:rRNA from 1 species
CAAUAGCGUAUAUUAAAGUUGUUGCAGUUAAAAAGCUCGUAGUUGGAUUUGUGGCGUACGGUGUGUUCCGGGCACUUGUUGUCUGAGUAACCUGCUGUUGCCAUCCUUGGGUGGAACCUGUGUGGCAUUAGGUUGUCGUGCAGGGGAUGCCCAUCAUUUACUGUGAAAAAAUUAGAGUGUUCAAAGCAGGCUUAUGCCGUUGAAUAUAUUAGCAUGGAAUAAUGAGAUAGGACUUUUUUGCUAUUUUGUUGGUUUGCGCAAAGAGGUAAUGAUUAAUAGGGACAGUUGGGGGUAUUCGUAUUCCAGUGUCAGAGGUGAAAUUCUUGGAUUUUUGGAAGACGAACUACUGCGAAAGCAUUUACCAAGGAUGUUUUCAUUAA